rnacentral:rRNA from 1 species
GACGAACGCUGGCGGCGUGCUUAACACAUGCAAGUCGAACGGACAGGCCCUGCUUUUGUGGGGUGCUCGAGUGGCGAACGGGUGAGUAACACGUGAGUAUCCUGCCCUUGACUUUGUGAUAACUUCAGGAAACUGGGGCUAAUACCGGAUAGGAGCUCCUGCUGCAUGGUGGGGGUUGGAGAGUUUCGGCUGUUGGGGAUGGACUCGCGGCUUAUCAGCUUGAUGGUGGGGUAGUGGCUUACCAAGGGUUUGACGGGUAGCCGGCCUGAGAGGGUGACCGGCCACAAUGGGACUGAGGGACGGCCCAGACGCCUACGGGAGGCAGCAGUGGGGAGUAUUACAGAAUGGGGGGAAGCCUGAUGCAGCAACGCCGCGUGCGGGAUGACGGCCUACGGGUUGUAAACCGCUUUCGCCGGUGACGAAGCGUGAGUGACGGUAAUGGGUAAAGAAGCAACGGCUAACUACGUG